GUUUCCGUAGUGUAGUGGUUUUCAGAUUUGCUUCACAUGCUAAAGGUCUCAAGUUCGAAACUGGGUGGGAACA